rnacentral:rRNA from 1 species
GACGAACGCUGGCGGCGUGCCUAAUACAUGCAAGUAGGACGCAGUUGCGAACGGGUGAGUCAAGCGUAGGUAAAUGCCUAUUAGAGGGGGAUAAAUAUUGGAAACGAUAGCUAAUACCGCAUACUAGUAGAUGGACCUGGGUGGUAUUAGCUAGUAGGUAGGGUAAAGGCCUACCUAAGCAACGAUACAUAGUCGACCUGGAGAGGAGAUCGGCCACAAUGGGACUGAGACACGGCCCAGACUCCUACGGGAGGCAGCAGGAGGGAAUCUUCGGCAAUGGGGGGAACCCUGACCGCGCAACGCCGCGUGAGUGAAGCAGGUUUUCGGAUCGUAAAGCUCUGUUGUUAAGGAAGCGGUACUUAAACAAUAAGGGACGGCUAACUACGUGCCAGCAGCCGCGGUAAUUC